UACGAAGGGGGCUAGCGUUGUUCGGAAUUACUGGGCGUAAAGCGUGCGCAGGCGGCUUCUCAAGUCAGGGGUGAAAGCCCAGAGCUCAACUCUCGAAUUGCCUUUGAGACUGAGUGGCUUGAGUUCGAGAGAGGUGAGUGGAAUUCCCAGUGUAGAGGUGAAAUUCGUAGAUAUUCGGAAGAACACCAGUGGCGAAGGCGACUUACUGGACACAUAUUGACGCUGAGGUGCGAAAGCAUGGGGAGCGAACAGG
rnacentral:rRNA from 1 species